rnacentral:lncRNA from 1 species
UGUGCAUGCGCGCUAAACAAGAUGAGACAAAUUAAUAACAAAUCCCUCAAAUUUUUUAUAUUAAAUCUUAAGCGUUCAAAGAUAUUUGGAAUAUCGAACGUCGCCUUCUAGCAUGAUAAAAAAUAAUAGAGUAUCAAUUAAUUAUUAUAAGUUUGUUGUGUCACCACAAGGCUUAUCUUAAUUCUUUGAGAUGUUAAUUUUAUC